UAUGAAAGUCAAAACUAUCGAUUCGCCAUUUUGUCUGCCAUUUUCAACAGAUUGCUUAAAUUCUGUAGUUACGCUCUCCACAGCCUUGAAAUGAGCCUUUUGUUUUUCUUUUAGUUCUUCUGUAACUCUUUGUUCAACACUACUUUUCAUGGAGCAAUGUAAAUUAUCACACGUUUUACACGUAUCCGAAUGACGCCUUUUAAAACUUAAAUUAAAGUUGUUGUUGAAAAUAUCACCAAAGACGUACUGCGAGACGACAUGUUGAUCCUUUAAUUCACAGGAGCUCUUGUAUUCGUUAUAUAACUUCGUUAAAUUUAGAUUUGGGUGUAAAUAUUUCUUCUGAGAUAUUUUACGUCCAUAGUGUGACUCGUAUUUUGGGAAAAAGUUGAUAAAUAAUAACAUUAUUUUUAUCUUCCUCAGAUGUUUUGUUUGCUGAAGAUGUUCGUCCCCGCGUCUCAGCAGCACCGAAAUUUUUUUUGGAUACUACCUACAGCACGGUAUAUACGAGCCGAUGUUAUGCAUAGGCACUUCACGAAAAAGUUCUUACAAACUUUGAAUAAUCGGCGUGUUUGUUUUGCGAGCCACAGGACGUCUUUUCACCGAAGAUCGAAUAUAUAAGGUUUUUUUGGGUCCAAUUUAAAGCAUGAUAAUAGUUUUCAAAAAUUUUCUUUUGGCGGACAAUGUCAAUCUUGUGGCAACAACUUUUUCCACAUUUGCAGAUUACUUGUGCUAUAAAUUUUUUUUCCGCAACUAUACGACCGCUAACAGUUUUAUGCUCUUUGCCACAUUCAACACUUUUUUUUUGCAAUAUUUUUUUUGCGAUGUUCUAAUCGCUUUUGUCGUUUUCUGGGAGUAAACGUUACUGUAAAUAAGAUAUAAUACUAUAAUUGCUCUUACCUAGCAAAUAAAUAUAAAUAUUUACCAUGA